UAUGCUGAAAAUUUCAGACUUGGAGAAAAGCUGCCGGAGUAGGUGUCCCAACCGUUGCCUUCGCCUACACCCGCCGAGCGUCGAUGUCUACGCACCCGUGUGAUGAUGGACAUUUGGAUGCUGCUGUGAACACUCAUGUCCGUGUUUGCUUUGUGGACGUACGUUUUCAUUCAUCCGGGGUAGGUGUCUAAGAGUAAAACUGCCGGGCGAGCAUUCCCAACCUUUCAAGGAACAGCCAGACUGUCUUCAACAGCAGCUGCACCAUCUUGCUUCCUGAAGCAACACCAGAGGGUUCCAGUGUCUCCUCACCCUCACCAGCACUGGUUACUAAAAGUCUCCUGUCAACACGGUAACAUUCAGACUUAAGGAACUAGAAAGACAAGCACAAGCUAAACCCUAAGCCCGAGGAAGGAAAGGUGAUAAAGACGGAGGGAGUGCGAGGGCGCCCUGCCCAGUGAGUGCGCCAGCCACGGCAAGACUACUACCACGUGGCUCCACACGUGGCUCCACCCGCAGGAGUAUAAAUUUUUAUGAAAAAGAGAAAGUACUGAGCCAUGGUACAGUGUGGAUGAGCCUUGACAACACCAGGCUGAGGGAAAGAGGCCAGACACAGGAGACCACACACGGUCUGAUUCCACGGAGACUGAAGGCAGAACUAGCCCCCUGAAGGGGGACAGGAAGCCAGCCUGGAGACGCUGAGGGUCAAUGAGAGGGGAAGGUCACCAGCCGUGAAGCAGGCUUUGUGGAUGCAGCAGAAUGUGAGUGAGCUGCCAGGUACAUGCGCCCCUCCUGCGCAGCCAUGUUGUCCCCCUCAUGUGUGCGAUCCUGCUGACCCUGCGUGAGAGCCCCUGGAACAGAGGACUGGCCCUGGGGGAGGGAUGAAGGAGGUGGAGGAGUGAGCAUGACCUCGCCUGCAGCUCCCCUGAGGGUGCCCUAGGCCACCCUGCUGCCCAAGCCAGGUCAUGGUCAGAAAGUCUGACAGCCCUGACCCCGACCCAGCCAGACAAAGGGUCCUGUCCAGGGGCUGCCAGGCCCUCCCCUCCUGAGCCUUGACUUCCUGUCUGCUACGUGCGACGUUGGGCUGAGGUCCAGGAAUCCUGGAGGGGUGCUUGAGGGGGUUUGAAGAUGGGGAAGGCCUGGCAGAAAAGGUUAUGAGAUCUUCCACGUGGUUUCUCCCUGGAACCCCCCCAGACUUCUCAAGACCCUCCCAAUCAUCAGGGAAGAGACCACCCAGCCAGGGCCUACAGAACAAAGAGGGAGGCUGGGGCUUGGGGCCUGUGAGAAGGGGUGAGGGCUGAUUUCCACAACAGGGAAGGAAGCUGUCCUCCUGAUUGGCAAACCAAGGUGUGGCAAGGCCCCAGACUCUUCAGGGGAACAUUCUGGGGUUGCCCCAAACAGGGGGCUUCUGUUUCCAGCUUCUGGAGACACCCCAAAUAACAGCUCUUGACCUCCCCCCGCUCCAAUAAGCCUCCCUCUCUGCCCCUGCUGCCCUUCCACUCCCACCCUCUCCUGUAACCUGGGCCAGCAGGCAGCUGGCUGCAGGGAGGCCGAAGCUGGAGGCUAGGGUGUGGGUUCCAGAGCCACCAGAACCGUGGGGGACACCUCUUUGAAGCCCAGAAGGGCUGCAGUGCUCCAUGCUCCAUGCACACAGCAGCUUCUGGUUACAACUCAGUGCCCACAGCUGCCAGGAGGGGAUGCUGCAGGGGGCCCGCAGAGCAGAGGCCCCAAUCUGUCCUGGAUGAGAGUGGGACAGGCUCCAUCCCCAGUAGAAGAGGCCAGAGGAGAGAAACACUGCAGAGGCUGGACCUGCCGGGCCGCCGUCCAGCACCGUCCAGGGCUCUCACCGCCUCCAAACGGCUGGAGAGGUGGAUACCGGGCAGACCACCUAGGGUCCCGGAAAGGUGAACAAGCCUUGCUCCGGGACGGGAGAGAGGCUUCCUUUAGGGCAGGGGAGGUGGCCAACAGGCCCUGCUCCAGGACGUAGGAGGGCCAGGCCGCCCCAGAUUGGACGACACCGUGGGGCUGGCCUUCCACCAGGGCCGGCCUCCGAGAACCAGUCGGG